AAAUUGAAGAGUUUGAUCAUGGCUCAGAUUGAACGCUGGCGGCAGGCCUAACACAUGCAAGUCGAACGGUAACAGGAAGCAGCUUGCUGCUUUGCUGACGAGUGGCGGACGGGUGAGUAAUGUCUGGGAAACUGCCUGAUGGAGGGGAUAACUACUGGAAACGGUGGCUAAUACCGCAUAACGUCGCAAG
rnacentral:rRNA from 1 species